ensembl:lncRNA
AUAUCUUUUCCCCUGAGUUCUUCUCCCCUUUUCAUCUUCAACCCUAAGAGUUUUCUUUGCCCUUUCACUCUUUCCAGAAGCUCGUAAUACAGAGAAAAAUGCUUCUCAGAGAGAAGAUCAGGAAUAACCAAGUGAGACAAGAGCUUUCUCUUGGAAACCCUUAACUAGGUGCCUCCAAGAACCAUCCAAACAGGACUUCUAAAAAAUCAAAGUGUUGCCCUGGCUAUAAACAUGUGUAGGUUUGUCUGUGGACACAAAUUUUCAGCCUUUGGACAGGUCAACAGCUCUGGUGUUUCCUAUCUUGAAGAGGAAUGGGAAAGAUGACAGCAGAGGAGUACGGACUCCAAGAUCUGGAUCUUCAGUCCUGAGAAAGCAUGCUGAGCUUCAUGUAUCACACUUGAAGCUUCCCAACUGCACAGCUCUCCUUGGGUGGCUCAGAUAUUUCAAAAUGUACCAUCUUCUUUCCGUAAACGUGCUCAUGAUCCGAUGUUCCUUAGUGUCACCAAGGCCAAGGUCAUAACCCAAGGAAUGACUUCAUUACACAGUCACCAGGUCCCAGACAUCUUGUUCUCCAGCCAUCUCCUUCUCUACACCUCCACGACCACCUUCAUCUUCCAUUAAUGUGACAACCUCUGAUCCUGUCAUUUGCCUCCAGGCUUCCUCCUCUUCAAUUUAUUUUGACGCAUAAACCAGACUCUGUCACUCCCUUUACGUAAGUCCUUUAAUACAGUCCACCUAUUUCACAGGAUAAAAUCACUUUCCAAAUCACUCAGACAU